GAGUAGCAUAGUGGUAGAGCAUCUGCUCUGCAUGCAGAAGUUCUCAGGUUCAGUCCCUGGCAUCACCA